rnacentral:rRNA from 1 species
UACGGGGGGGGCAAGCGUUGUUCGGAAUUACUGGGCGUAAAGGGCGCGUAGGCGGCCCGCUAAGUCGAACGUGAAAUCCCCAGGCUCAACCUGGGAACUGCGUCCGAUACUGGCAGGCUUGAAUCCGGGAGAGGGAUGUGGAAUUCCAGGUGUAGCGGUGAAAUGCGUAGAUAUCUGGAGGAACACCGGUGGCGAAGGCGGCAUCCUGGACCGGUAUUGACGCUGAGGCGCGAAAGCUAGGGGAGCAAACAGG